GAUGAACGCUGGCGGCGUGCCUAAUACAUGCAAGUCGAGCGAACAGAUAAGGAGCUUGCUCCUUUGACGUUAGCGGCGGACGGGUGAGUAACACGUGGGUAACCUACCUAUAAGACUGGGAUAACUUCGGGAAACCGGAGCUAAUACCGGAUAACAUUUGGAACCGCAUGGUUCUAAAGUGAAAGAUGGUUUUGCUAUCACUUAUAGAUGGACCCGCGCCGUAUUAGCUAGUUGGUAAGGUAACGGCUUACCAAGGCGACGAUACGUAGCCGACCUGAGAGGGUGAGCGGCCACACUGGAACUGAGACACGGUCCAGACUCCUACGGGAGGCAGCAGUAGGGAAUCUUCCGCAAUGGGCGAAAGCCUGACGGAGCAACGCCGCGUGAGUGAUGAAGGGUUUCGGCUCGUAAAACUCUGUUAUUAGGGAAGAACAAACGUGUAAGUAACUGUGCACGUCUUGACGGUACCUAAUCAGAAAGCCACGGCUAACUACGUG
rnacentral:rRNA from 1 species